UCCUUGUGAGGCUGGUUGGUCCGGAAGUAGCAGCAGCUUGAAAUGUCAAAGCUUCACAGACCUGGCAAAAGUAACUUUGCAGGCAAACAGGGAAACCCUCUGAUCCAUCCAAACAAGGAGUCCUGUUCUGCUCAGGGAAAGGCACUGCAGCAAUAAAGCCUCUGGGAAGUCACAGCACAGGAUGAAUAUUUUAUCUGGCAGCAAUGAAACAGGCAUCACGUGUCGGCAGAAUUAUCCCCCAACUCCACUUAUUGAAAGCUCCCUAGUCAAGAGAAAGCCAUGCAACUUUUUUCUAGACAAAGCUGAAGGGCUUGCCCAGCAUUGUCAAGAACUGGAAGAAGGGUGGCAUGGUCUGAAGUAUAACAGAGUACCAAGAACUUCGAAAGACUCAACCUUUGAAACAAUUCCACAAGGCUGUUAACAACCCCCUUUAAAAAUACAAAGUAAUCAAAUGCA